GACGAACGCUGGCGGCGUGCCCAAUACAUGCAAGUAGAACGCACAGUUUAUACCGUAGCUUGCUACACCAUAGACUGUGAGUUGCGAACGGGUGAGUAACGCGUAGGUAACCUGCCUGGUAGCGGGGGAUAACUAUUGGAAACGAUAGCUAAUACCGCAUAAUAUUGAUUAUUGCAUGAUAAUUGAUUGAAAGAUGCUAUUGCAUCACUACCAGAUGGACCUGCGUUGUAUUAGCUAGUAGGUGAGGUAACGGCUCACCUAGGCGACGAUACAUAGCCGACCUGAGAGGGUGAUCGGCCACACUGGGACUGAGACACGGCCCAGACUCCUACGGGAGGCAGCAGUAGGGAAUCUUCGGCAAUGGACGAAAGUCUGACCGAGCAACGCCGCGUGAGUGAAGAAGGGUUUCGGAUCGUAAAGCUCUGUUGUAAGAGAAGAACGGGUGUGAGAGUGGAAAGUUCACACUGUGACGGUAUCUUACCAGAAAGGGACGGCUAACUACGUG
rnacentral:rRNA from 1 species